rnacentral:tRNA from 1 species
AUUUAAAUAGUUUAAUAAAAAAAUAUUGAUUUGUGAUAUCAAAGAUAUAAUUUAAUUAUUUUAAAUA